UUGGAGGGCAAGUCUGGUGCCAGCAGCCGCGGUAAUUCCAGCUCCAAUAGCGUAUAUUAAAGUUGUUGCAGUUAAAAAGCUCGUAGUUGAAUUUCGGGAUCAAUAUGUCGGUCGUGCCUUCGGUACGUACUGGUAUCAUUGGUUUCUCCUUUCUGACGAACCAUGAUGUCAUUAAUUUGGUGUUAUGGGGAGUUAGGACUGUUACUUUGAAAAAAUUAGAGUGUUUAAAGCAGGCUUUAGCUUGAAUACAUUAGCAUGGAAUAAUGAAAUAGGACGUUCGAACCUAUUUUGUUGGUUUCUAGGAUCAACGUAAUGAUUAAUAGGGAUAGUUGGGGGCAUUAGUAUUCAAUUGUCAGAGGUGAAAUUCUUGGAUUUAUUGAAGACUAACUACUGCGAAAGCAUUUGCCAAGGAUGUUUUCAUUAAUCAGGAACGAAAGUUAGGGGAUCGAAGACGAUCAGAUACCGUCGUAGUCUUAACCAUAAACUAUGCCGACUAGGGAUCGGAUGAUGUUAAUUUUUUAAUGACUCAUUCGGCGCCUUACGGGAAAC
rnacentral:rRNA from 1 species